UACGUAGGGGGCAAGCGUUGUCCGGAAUCAUUGGGCGUAAAGCGCGUGUAGGCGGCCAGGUAAGUCCGUUCUGAAAGCCCGGGGCUCAACCCCCGGGAGGCGGAUGGAUACUGCUUGGCUCGAGUCCGGAAGAGGCGAGUGGAAUUCCCGGUGUAGCGGUGAAAUGCGCAGAUAUCGGGAGGAACACCAAUGGCGAAGGCAGCUCGCUGGGACGGUACUGACGCUGAGACGCGAAAGCGUGGG
rnacentral:rRNA from 1 species